rnacentral:rRNA from 1 species
GAUGAACGCUAGCUACAGGCUUAACACAUGCAAGUCGAGGGACCGGCGCACGGGUGAGUCACACGUAUCCAACCUGCCCUUUACUCGGGGAUAGCCUUUCGAAAGAAAGAUUAAUACCCGAUAUAAAGGAUGGGGAUGCGUUCCAUUAGGUUGUUGGUGAGGUAACGGCCCACCAAGCCUUCGAUGGAUAGGGGUUCUGAGAGGAAGGUCCCCCACAGUGGAACUGAGACACGGUCCAAACUCCUACGGGAGGCAGCAGUGAGGAAUAUUGGUCAAUGGGCGUUAGCCUGAACCAGCCAAGUAGCGUGAAGGAUGAAGGCUUCGGGUUGUAAAGCACUUUCAGCGGGGAGGCGUUACCCGCAGAAGAAGCACCGGCUAACUCCGUGCCAGCAGCCGCGGUAAUUC